rnacentral:rRNA from 2 species
GUAAUACCGGAUGCUUGAUUGAACCGCAUGGUUCAAUUAUAAAAGGUGGCUUUUAGCUACCACUUACAGAUGGACCCGCGGCGCAUUAGCUAGUUGGUGAGGUAACGGCUCACCAAGGCAACGAUGCGUACCCAACCUGAGAGGGUGAUCGGCCACACUGGGACUGAAACACGGCCCAAACUCCUACGGGAGGCAGCAGUAGGGAAUCUUCCGCAAUGGACAAAAGUCUGACGGACCACCGCCGCGGGAGUGAUGAAGGUUUUCGGAUCGUAAAACUCUGUUGUUAGGGAAAAACAAGUACCGUUCGAAUAGGGCGGUACCUUGACGGUACCUAACCAAAAAGCCACGGCUAACUACGUGCCAGCAGCCGCGGUAAUACGUAGGUGGCAAGCGUUGUCCGGAAUUAUUGGGCGUAAAGCGCGCGCAGGCGGUUUCUUAAGUCUGAUGUGAAAGCCCCCGGCUCACCCGGGGAGGGUCAUUGGAAACUGGGGAACUUGAGUGCAAAAAAGGAGAGUGGAAUUCCACGUGUAGCGGUGAAAUGCGUAAAGAUGUGGAGGACCACCAGUGGCGAAGGCGACUCUCUGGUCUGUAACUGACGCUGAGGCGCGAAAGCGUGGGGAGCGAACAGGAUUAGAUACCCUGGUAGUCCACGCCGUAAACGAUGAGUGCUAAGUGUUAGAGGGUUUCCGCCCUUUUAGUGCUGCAGCAAACGCAUUAAGCACUCCGCCUGGGGAGUACGGUCGCAAGACUGAAACUCAAAGGAAUUGACGGGGGGCCCGCACAAGCGGUGGAGCAUGUGGUAA